AGCUCUUCAGUUGUAGAGCAGCCCAGAACAGCAUUUUCAUGUCCAGAUAUUGUCCAGAUAUUACAAGAUCCUGCUUCCUCUUCAGAAUGCUCUGGUGUCACUAUUGGCAGAGACCACCAGCCUCCAGGGCAGUCUCACCCAGCCUUCAGGAACUUCUUUCUGAGCAUCCUGACAGAACAAGAAGCCUUCUGUGUCCAAAAGAUGAUGCCCUUUCAGACUGCAUGUCCACCCGGCUCUGUGGUCAGGAUCCUGAAGUCUGUAACAUCUGCUUGGUUACCAUAGAUGAAGAAGUGGUCAGCCACAUGGCCUCGGUCUCACCAAUGAACAGUGCUUCUGCAUCACCAGGCCCAAGAGCUGGUCCCCAAGUGGUCACAUCGUGAACAUUCCUGGCCCUCAGAGAUACUUGUGUGGCACUCUAGU
ensembl:antisense Slc6a19os solute carrier family 6 (neurotransmitter transporter), member 19, opposite strand